AGUCUCAGACAGGACACAGCAUGGACACGAGGGUCCCCACUCAGCUCCUGGGGCUCCUGUUGCUCUGGCUCCCAGGUGCCAGAUGUGACAUCCAGAUGACCCAGUCUCCAUCCUCCCUGUCUGCAUCUGUAGGAGACAGAGUCACCAUCACUUGCAGAGCCAGUCAGGGUAUUAGGAACUGGUUGGCCUGGUAUCAACAGAAACCAGGGAAAGCCCCUAAGCUCCUGAUCUAUAGGGCAUCCAAUUUGGAAACAGGGGUCCCAUCAAGGUUCAGUGGAAGUGGAUCUGGGACAGAUUUCACUCUCACCAUCAGCAGCCUGCAGCCUGAAGAUAUCGCAACAUAUUACUGUCAACAGUAUGAUAAUUCCCCUCCCACAGUGUUACAAGCCCGAAUACAAACCACCAAGGGAAACAGAAGGAUUAAACACAAUCCAAAGGCUGGAGACAAGCUCAGUACCCUGCAGCAGAACAACCCUGCUAAGCCUUUCCUUGAUCAGCAAGAUAACUGUUAUCAUGAACAUCUCUGA